GGCAGCACGGUCCAAUGGAAAGGGCACUGGCCUGGGAGUCAGGAGGCCUGGGUUCUAGUCCCAGCUCUGCUG
rfam:Chelonia mydas contig202840, whole genome shotgun sequence.